rnacentral:rRNA from 1 species
AUUGAACGCUGGCGGCAGGCUUAACACAUGCAAGUCGAGCGGGGGAAGGUAGCUUGCUACCGGACCUAGCGGCGGACGGGUGAGUAAUGCUUAGGAAUCUGCCUAUUAGUGGGGGACAACAUCUCGAAAGGGAUGCUAAUACCGCAUACGUCCUACGGGAGAAAGCAGGGGAUCUUCGGACCUUGCGCUGAUAGAUGAGCCUAAGUCGGAUUAGCUAGUUGGUGGGGUAAAGGCCUACCAAGGCGACGAUCUGUAGCGGGUCUGAGAGGAUGAUCCGCCACACUGGGACUGAGACACGGCCCAGACUCCUACGGGAGGCAGCAGUGGGGAAUAUUGGACAAAGGGGGGAACCCUGAUCCAGCCAUGCCGCGUGUGUGAAGAAGGCCUUAUGGUUGUAAAGCACUUUAGGCGAGGAGGAGGCUACUCUAGUUAAUACCUAGGGAUAGUGGACGUUACUCGCAGAAUAAGCACCGGCUAACUCUGUGCCAGCCGCCGCCGUAA